rnacentral:lncRNA from 10 species
UUUAUCUCCCAGGUUCAAAUGAUUCUCGUGCCUCAGCCUCCAGAGUAGCUGGGGCUACAGGCGCCCACCACCAUGCCCAGCUAAUUUUCAUAUUUUUAGUAGAGACAUUGUUUCACCAUGCUGGCCAGGGUGGUCUCGAACUCCUGACCUCAAGUGAUCCGCCCGCCUCAGCCUCCCAAAGUGCUGGGAUUACAGGCAUGAGCCACUGCACCCGGCCCCAUUCCUCACUUUAGCCUCAGGCAGAGAAGACAGCGCGAUGGGGAAACACUUAUGUAGGAAGGUGUCCAAUGCGGUAUUGCAAAUCAACAGGAAGCAUUGCCAGCAGCCGCAGCGAGCAGCAAGUGGGGAAGGAACAGAGAGCAUGGAUGCGCAGAGCUUCCUGUAACUACGAGGGUGGUCAGUGAAGCUUCUGUGUCCACAAGGAAAAGGUGGAGGACAUUCAGGCACUAGGGGGUGCUCCCCAGGCUUAUGUGAGAAACCUGUAGCACAGACAGCCACACAGGAGUAGUGAACUACAACCAUGGAAUUUGAAAUUUAGUGUCUAAUACUUGGUUCUAAAAUUGGGUUGAUUUAAAUUCAGAAGUGUGCUCUACUCUGACAAAUGUUAAAAUAGACUAAUAGAAGACACAUUUUGACACAGAGGCCCUGGGUUUGAGACUCCUCCAUCAUCCCUAAACCAGAGGAAGAGUUGCUGCGUGAGAGCUGGGGAUAUUUGAUCUGAUUUCUGUUUAGUUUCUGU